GACAGAGGGUGCAAACGUUGUUCGGAAUUACUGGGCGUAAAGCGCGUGUAGGCGGCUUGGUAAGUUGGGUGUGAAAUCCCAGGGCUCAACCCUGGAAGUGCAUUCAAAACUGCUCGGCUAGAGUUCUGGAGAGGAAGGUGGAAUGCUUGGUGUAGAGGUGAAAUUCGUAGAUAUCAAGCGGAACACCGGUGGCGAAGGCGGCCUUCUGGACAGAAACUGACGCUGAGACGCGAAAGCGUGGGGAGCAAACAGGAUUAGAUACCCUGGUAGUCCACGCCGUAAACGAUGAGUGCUGGAUGUCAGGAGCUUUGACCCUCCUGGUGUCGUAGCUAACGCGAUAAGCACUCCGCCUGGGGAGUACGGCCGCAAGGCUAAA
rnacentral:rRNA from 1 species